AAUUAAUAUAUCUUUCUUUAGAAAAGAAACUAAUAUAAUUGACUAUGCAUUCUGAAAAGAUAGCUUGUUCAUACUUCUACUAGUAUCUCCAUGAAGAUUUUCAUGUUAUUCUGAUAUAUGUCCAUUAUUAAAGACAAAUGCAUUUUUAAAUCUUGUAAUUAGAAGGUUCAUAGCCAUCAUAGGUCUGUUGGAAGCAGAAAUACACAUUAAUAUUUUAGCUUUCCAUUUGCUUUCAUGAAAUCUAUGAACAGAAGCUAUCAGCAUCUAGGGAUUGUCUUCAAAUGACAAAUUCAGCAUGCUACAAAAAAGUGAUACUGGGAUUUCCUGCUGAAUUCAUCUAAAGUUAGGCCAUCCUGAGUAAUGAUUCAGAGUGGAUUCUUAUUCUCACAUGCCAAAAGUUAUUUUUCUCUUUUUAUAUUUGAUUUUGAUGGUGAUGAAUAUGACUGUGAAAAGGAAUUAUGCCACAUAAAGAGAAAUACUCAUAGUUUUACAAAAUGGUCAAUGACAGAAUAGUCUGACUAAAAUGAUAGUUUGAUUUCAUUUUCUCAGAGCUAAAAUACAAAACAUAAUGAAAAUGGACUUCUGAAGUUUUCUGAAUCACCCAAAUGAUAAGUAAUGUCUAAGACUUUAUGUACCUGGGGCAUAAACAGGACAUAGUACAUCCUCAGAAAAGAUUGGUUGUGUGAAUGAAUAAAUUAUGUA
rnacentral:lncRNA from 1 species